rnacentral:tRNA from 2 species
GGGCAAUUAACUCAGCGGUAGAGUGUCUCCCUUACAAGGAGAAGGCCGGGGGUUCGAAUCCCUCAUUGCCCA